UAGGGAAUCUUCGGCAAUGGACGAAAGUCUGACCGAGCAACGCCGCGUGAGUGAAGAAGGUUUUCGGAUCGUAAAACUCUGUUGUUAGAGAAGAACAAGGACGUUAGUAACUGAACGUCCCCUGACGGUAUCUAACCAGAAAGCCACGGCUAACUACGUGCCAGCAGCCGCGGUAAUACGUAGGUGGCAAGCGUUGUCCGGAUUUAUUGGGCGUAAAGCGAGCGCAGGCGGUUUCUUAAGUCUGAUGUGAAAGCCCCCGGCUCAACCGGGGAGGGUCAUUGGAAGCUGGGAGAAGUGAGUGCAGAAGAGGAGAGUGGAAUUCCAUGUGUAGCGGUAAAAUGCGUAGAUAUAUGGAGGAACACCAGUGGCGAGGGCGGCUCUCUGGUCUGUAACUGACGCUGAGGCUCGAAAGCGGGGGGAGCAAACAGG
rnacentral:rRNA from 1 species